GGAGUUGCUUUCUCAGGAAUGUGAUGGAAUACUCCGGACUUCGCCUGGGCAACUGCAGCUCCAGCAACACUCAAGAAGCUUGACACCAUCCAGAACAGAGCAGUCCGUUUAAUUGGUAUCCAUAAACAUCUAAUCCCUCUACCACAGAUGCACAAAGUAUACUAUCUACAAGAUGCACUGUAGAAAUUUGCCAAAGAUCCUGAGACAUCAGUUUCCAAAUUGACGACCACAUCCAUCUAGAAGGGCAGCAAAUAAAUGGACACACCGCGACCUUCAAGUUCCCCUCUAAGCCGCUCACCAUCCUGACUUGAAAAUAUAUCACUAGUGCUUCGCUUUUGCUGGGUCAAAUUCGUGGAAUUUCCUCCUUAACAACAUCAUGUACCAACAGCACAUGAACUCCAUCAUUUGAAAAAGGUCAGUUGAAGCUGGAGCAUGCAGAAUGAUGGCCUUGUAGUUGCUUGGCGAUGAAAGCUGCUCCUUAGAUCACAACAGCAAUCUGUUUGAGGUAGUCAGACAAGCAAGAUGGGUCAUCUUCUACAUCAAAUUCCAGAAACCGUAAAUGGAUGCGUUGCUUGUACUUAAGUCGGAUGUGCCAGUAACAGACCUGCUGAUCCUCAUAUUCAUCUGGGAAAUUUGGAGAUUUGAUAAUUCGUUCCAGAUCUGUUAGAACCCCACCACAUUGUUUUGCUGAAGAGCAGAAAAUAAAUGCAAAGGAAUUAUACUCUGCAAUAAACUUGAAAAAUGCUUCUAUGAAAAAUAUUGCCAUGGCAACAGAUCAGAAUUCUGAAUUGUUUAUGGACAUAGCUGAACUUUUAAGCCUGAUAAGUUGCUUUGGUUGUUUGUUUUAAAAAAAGGCACAUAUGAGCCAGACAUGGCUGAAAUAUAAUUCAGUGACUGUCUGGAUAAUUCCCGUUUGGAUUGCCCUCAGCCUCAAGAUAGACUGUGGAAUGCUGCAUAAAAGGGUGUCAAAAGAAUUCAAAAGAAACAUUUCAAAAGAAGUGAUACAUGACAAAAACCUGAACCAUCUCCUGUGUGCUAACCCCCUCCAGAUUGUGGCUGUUAUGUGAGGGAUUAAAAAUACAGUGUGGGCUGAAGAGAUGUAUGUACUGUAACCUGCCAGGAAUAUAAAAAAAUGUCAAAAACAAUUAUUGCCUUUCCUGUGCAAUAGGAUGAUUAUUAAUCAGUAAAGGAACCAAGAGUUAUGGAGAAGUGGAGUUCAGGAUUGUCAGAUCAGCCAUGUACAAAAUGCGGAGGAAUGGAAUUGUGGGAGAUAUAGCAGUUUGGAUUGGAAAUUGGCUUGCUGAAAGAAGACAGAGGGUGGUAGUUGAUUGGAAAUGUUCAUCCUGGAGACCAGUUACUAGUGGUGUAUCGCAAGGAUCGGUGUCGGGUCCACUGCUGUUUGUCAUUUUUAUAAAUGGCCUGGAUGAGGGCGAAGAA